rnacentral:misc_RNA from 1 species
AAAAAAAAAAAAAAAAAAAAGAACCCAAUUCAAUCAAUCAAGAUUUAAGGGCAAGCACAAGAAACAAACCCUUCUCUUCUAAGAAAAUUAAUGAUGGGGCAACGGUGGUGGUAGGGGGAAGAGCACGGCGGAGACCCAGCCUCAAAAGAGGCUGGGACAGGGGGGGGAUUCAAGCGAGCAAGGAAAAUGGCAGGGAAAGUGAUGAGAAGCGAGUUUAUUGUAAUUUUCUUUUGAUCCGUCUGGCUUUUGAAGGAUUCUUGCUUUAUUUGGGUGCUAUAUAAAUAUUGGAUUGAAGAUUGAAUUUAGAAAAUCAGAGAGAGAGAGAGAGAUGUGUGGAUGUGAGAGAAAAGGUCAGAGCCAGAGUAUUGCAUAAGAGGAAUUACCUGUGGCCUGUUCUAGGCCUGUGGUGAAGAAGUGGG